rnacentral:rRNA from 1 species
GAUGAACGCUGACAGAAUGCUUAACACAUGCAAGUCGAUGGGGAAGUGGUGCUUGCACCCUGGUAACCAUGGCGGACGGGUGAGUAACGCGUAAGGAACUUGCCUGCGGGACUGGGAUAACAGCAGGAAACUGCUGAUAAUACCGGAUAAGGUCAUUAAGCUGCAUAGCUUAGUGAUGAAAGGAGACGCCUGCGGAGAGCCUUGCGUCCUAUUAGCUAGUUGGAGGGGUAACGGCCAACCAAGGCGAAGAUAGGUAGCCGGCCUGAGAGGGUGGACGGCCACAAGGGGACUGAGAUACGGCCCUUACUCCUACGGGAGGCAGCAGUGGGGAAUAUUGGACAAUGGGGGCAACCCUGAUCCAGCAAUUCUGUGUGCACGAAGACGGUUUUCGGAUUGUAAAGUGCUUUCAGCAGGGAAGAAGGAAGUGACGGUACCUGCAGAAGAAGCGACGGCUAAAUACGUG